GUGGGGAAUAUUGGACAAUGGGCGAAAGCCUGAUCCAGCCAUGCCACGUGUGUGAAGAAGGUCUUCGGAUUGUAAAGCACUUUAAGUUGGGAGGAAGGGUAGUAACCUAAUACGUUGCUACUUUGACGUUACCGACAGAAUAAGCACCGGCUAACUUCGUGCCAGCAGCCGCGGUAAUACGAAGGGUGCAAGCGUUAAUCGGAAUUACUGGGCGUAAAGCGCGCGUAGGUGGUUCAGUAAGUUGGAAGUGAAAUCCCCGGGCUCAACCUGGGAACUGCUUUCAAAACUGCUGAGCUAGAGUACGGUAGAGGGUGGUGGAAUUUCCUGUGUAGCGGUGAAAUGCGUAGAUAUAGGAAGGAACACCAGUGGCGAAGGCGACCACCUGGACUGAUACUGACACUGAGGUGCGAAAGCGUGGGGAGCAAACAGGAUUAGAAACCCCUGUAGUCC
rnacentral:rRNA from 1 species